GGCUUUCUUGGGAUUAUAAACCAAUUCUGUUCGUGGGUCUCAAGGCAUCGUUCUCGAGAUUUGCAUUAGUACCUUAAUAAAGAAGCUUUUUCUCUCAUAUGCAAGGCAAUUAAGUCUUUCUAAACUUGUAUUUUGUAUUGUCUUAUACAAUCAUUGUGUAACACAAACUCCUCUUUAUAAAUAUCAACUUUAUUAAAGCUAUCCUAAAGGUUGACACAGCAAAGGAAUCGGAACUAUGGAUCAAUGGGUCAUUAAAAAAUUAAUUAUACAUACAAAUUAAUUUUAAAACUUAAAUAUAAUGCUUGUUAGUAUAAAUAAAUCUAA
rnacentral:misc_RNA from 1 species